UACGAAGGGUGCAAGCGUUAAUCGGAAUUACUGGGCGUAAAGGGUGCGUAGGCGGUUAGUUAAGUCUGUUGUGAAAUCCCCGGGCUCAACCCGGGAACUGCGUCCGAUACUGGAAGGCUUGAAUCCGGGAGAGGGAUGUGGAAUUCCCAGUGUAGCGGUGAAAUGCGUAGAUAUUGGGAGGAACACCAGUGGCGAAGGCGGCUCACUGGACCGGAACUGACGCUGAUGCGCGAAAGCGUGGGGAGCAAAC
rnacentral:rRNA from 1 species